GACGAACGCUGGCGGCGUGCUUAACACAUGCAAGUCGAACGGAAAGGCCCUGCUUUUGUGGGGUGCUCGAGUGGCGAACGGGUGAGUAACACGUGAGUAACCUGCACUUGACUUUGGGAUAACUUCAGGAAACUGGGGCUAAUACCGGAUAGGAGCUCCUGCUGCAUGGUGGGGGUUGGAAAGUUUCGGCGGUUGGGGAUGGACUCGCGGCUUAUCAGCUUGUUGGUGGGGUAGUGGCUUACCAAGGCUUUGACGGGUAGCCGGCCUGAGAGGGUGACCGGCCACAUUGGGACUGAGAGACGGCCCAGACUCCUACGGGAGGCAGCAGUGGGGAAUAUGGCACAAUGGGCGGAAGCCUGAGGCAGCAACGCCGCGUGCGGGAUGACGGCCUUCGGGUUGUAAACCGCUGUCGCCUGUGACGAAGCGUGAGUGACGGUAAUGGGUAAAGAAGCACCGGCUAACUACGUG
rnacentral:rRNA from 1 species